CUUCCGAUAGGCGUCGACCGGCGCACGGGUGAGUAACGCGUAUCCAACCUGCCCAUCACUUGGGGAUAACCUUGCGAAAGUAAGACUAAUACCCAAUGAUAUCUCAAGAAGACAUCUGAAUGAGAUUAAAGAUUUAUCGGUGAUGGAUGGGGAUGCGUCUGAUUAGCUUGUUGGCGGGGUAACGGCCCACCAAGGCGACGAUCAGUAGGGGCUCUGAGAGGAAGGUCCCCCACAUUGGAACUGAGACACGGUCCAAACUCCUACGGGAGGCAGCAGUGAGGAAUAUUGGUCAAUGGGCGAGAGCCUGAACCAGCCAAGUAGCGUGCAGGAUGACGGCCCUAUGGGUUGUAAACUGCUUUUAUAAGGGAAUAAAGUGAGCCUCGUGAGGCUUUUUGCAUGUACCUUAUGAAUAAGGACCGGCUAAUUCCGUGCCAGCAGCCGCGGUAAUACGGAAGGUCCGGGCGUUAUCCGGAUUUAUUGGGUUUAAAGGGAGCGUAGGCCGGAGAUUAAGCGUGUUGUGAAAUGUAGAUGCUCAACAUCUGCACUGCAGCGCGAACUGGUUUCCUUGAGUACGCACAAAGUGGGCGGAAUUCGUGGUGUAGCGGUGAAAUGCUUAGAUAUCACGAAGAACUCCGAUUGCGAAGGCAGCUCACUGGAGCGCGACUGACGCUGAAGCUCGAAAAGUGCGGGUAU
rnacentral:rRNA from 1 species